CAGAAUAGAGUGAUAACAAAUCCUAAUGUAAUAGCACAUUUCCACAAAAGACUUUUAUCUAAUUGACUAUCCUGAAAAAAGUGUCAUUAGGAGAACGGUGGUAACAUUAUCCAAUAUAGAAGAUACCAUCGCAGUAAAGAAGCAUAAUGUGUUGAUUAAUGGCCAAAUUUUGCCUCUGGUUUCCUUCGAUAAAAUCAAUGAUUAGCUUGGAACAACUUCAACAAGUGAUUCACUCACAAUUGGUAUGGACCAUAUUUGGGUUAUAUUCUUUUAAAAACAAAUAAUUAUAAGAAAUAAUAAGUAAG